UUUCCGUAGGUGAACCUGCGGAAGGAUCAUUUAUGAGCGAAGGGGGGUGCUCCCACCCCCCCAAGCGUAUCCAAACACUGUGAACCUUAAUGGGCUUUUUGGCCCUUACAAACUCUGUGUAAUGAACGUCAUACGAUAACAAAUAAAACUUUCAACAACGGAUCUCUUGGCUCUU
rnacentral:misc_RNA from 1 species